AAGCACGCUAUCCUAAGGACCCGGGCUUGUGUUGUAGCCCACGGUUCUCCAAAUGUGUGCAAGAAAAUAGGGUGGUCUUUGACUGCUGUGGCCUCUUGUGCCAUAAGCAGCCACUCAACUGUCCGACAGUU
ensembl:snoRNA small nucleolar RNA SNORA44